AGUAGGGAAUAUUGCGCAAUGGAGGAAACUCUGACGCAGCGACGCCGCGUGAGCGAUGAAGGCCUUCGGGUCGUAAAGCUCUGUUGCAGGGGAAUAAGAAAGUGAAUGUACCCUGUGAGGAAGGAUCGGCUAACUUCGUGCCAGCAGCCGCGGUAAGACGAGGGAUCCUAGCGUUGUUCGGAAUCAUUGGGCGUAAAGGGGGUGCAGGUGGUCUAAUAAGUCAAGUGUGAAAGCCCAGGGCUCAACCCUGGAAGUGCAUUUGAUACUGUUAGGCUUGAGUGUGGGAGAGGAUAGCAGAAUUCCUGGUGUAGUGGUGAAAUACGUAGAUAUCAGGAGGAAUACCGGAGGCGAAGGCGGCUAUCUGGCCCAACACUGACACUCAAACCCGAAAGCGUGGGGAUCAAA
rnacentral:rRNA from 1 species